rnacentral:ncRNA from 1 species
AAAAUUUUUUAUGGUUUAAUUUAAUUUAUUAUAUAAUUUAUUUUACAUAUAAAUUUUAGUGUUAAUUUUUAAUAAUUUAAAUAAUUAUUGAUUUAAUUUGUAGUAAUUUAUAUUAAAAAUUUAAGUAAUUAAGAUUUAGUAAUAUAUUAAUUAAUAACAAAUUUUGUGCCAGCAGUUGCGGUUAUACAAAAAUUAAGUUAAAUUUUAUUAGAAUUAAUAUUUAAUUUAUUUUUAAUUAUAUAUUAAAUUAUUAGGUGAAAUUUUAAUUUGAUUAAAAUUUAUAUUAAAAUUAAUAUUUAAAAAAAUUUUAUUUUAAACUAGGAUUAGAUACCCUAUUAUUGAAAAAUUAAUAUUAAAAUUCUAAAAUAGUAGAUAAUUAUUUAUUAAAACUUAAAUAAUUUGGCGGUAUUUUAGUUCAUUUAGAGGAAUCUGUCUAAUAAUUGAUAAUCCACGAUUAAAUUUACUUAAUUUAAAAUUUUGUAUAUCGUUGUUAAAAAAAUAUUUUUUAAUGAAAAUAAUAUUUAAAAAUUUUUAUAUUAAAUUAAAUCAGAUCAAGAUGCAGAUUAUAAUUAAGAAUAUGAUGGAUUACAAUAAAUUUAUUUAUAUGGAAAAUUAAUUUGUAAAAGUAAUUUAAAGGUGGAUUUAAAUGUAAUUUUAUUUAAUAUAAUAAAAUGAUUUAUAAUUAAAAUAUGUACAUAUUGCCCGUCACUUCCAUUUAUAAAUUGGAAUAAGUCGUAACAAAGUAGGGGUACUGGAAAGUGUUCCUAGAAAGA